GAUGAACGCUGGCGGCGUGCUUAACACAUGCAAGUCGAACGGGAAACCUAUUAUUGAAACUUCGGUCGAUUUAAUUUGUUUCUAGUGGCGGACGGGUGAGUAACGCGUGGGUAACCUGCCCUAUACAGGGGGAUAACAACCAGAAAUGGUUGCUAAUACCGCAUAAGCGCACGGGACCGCAUGGUCCAGUGUGAAAAACUCCGGUGGUAUAGGAUGGACCCGCGUUGGAUUAGCUAGUUGGUGGGGUAACGGCCCACCAAGGCAACGAUCCAUAGCCGGCCUGAGAGGGUGAACGGCCACAUUGGGACUGAGACACGGCCCAGACUCCUACGGGAGGCAGCAGUGGGGAAUAUUGCACAAUGGGGGAAACCCUGAUGCAGCGACGCCGCGUGAAGGAAGAAGUAUCUCGGUAUGUAAACUUCUAUCAGCAGGGAAGAUAGUGACGGUACCUGACUAAGAAGCCCCGGCUAACUACGUGCCAGCAGCCGCAGUAA
rnacentral:rRNA from 1 species